rnacentral:rRNA from 1 species
UGGUGGCGAUGCGCCUGGGGGAAACACCCGUACCCAUCCCGAACACGAUGGUUAAGGCUCAGGCGGCCGAUGGUACUGCGCUGGAGAC